GCAAGCAAAUUCAGUCUCGAUGGCUUCGUCGUUCAAUCCCAAUCGCAUACAGAGCGGCAUCCCCAACGCUGGCGGCCGCGGCGGCGGCGGCCCAGAUCCAUCCUCAAGCUAGGCGAAGUCAGAAAAUCUCCGAUGGCUCCUGACUGUCAUGUCGCCGGCGGCGCGGUUUGAGGCAGACCAAAUCAGAUCUCCUCCGCUACUAUGCUCCACCCCGCAGUGUGCUCGUACAGGCUCGCAACCUCUCAUCUGAAUCUUCGGUAGCUGUCGAUGGAUGAUGCUCUGACAACGGGAAACAUCAGGACUACAGAUGGACAAAAGAAGAUUUUCUCAAAGUCUUCCCUUCCUUAAGAUUGCAA